CGCACGGAUUCGGGUCCUACCGGGACUUUUUACAUUCCUAGCCGACGACUCUUCUUCACUCGUCCACAUCGCGCCUCCCCAGCUUCGCAUCUCCGGCCGGGCCAUACUGUUCAUUCUCGCCUCCAUCACAGAAACGACGACCUUCCCUCCUCUGAUCAAAUUUUACCUUCAUUCACUCGCACCUAAGCCAUCAUUGCCCUCGUCCUCGACUCAAAACUAUAGUCCGUCUAUUUCAUUGCUUCUUUCCCACGGAUGCAGCCUUUAUAGAGCCUCUGCGCCUUUCAUAUGUCUGAAUGAUCCUGCCAAACAGCCCCUAAGCGAGUGUAAAUUCUUUGUUGGAUUCAUCUUUGAUGGCAUCUAGACUGAUUCACAAAGCCACAUAUGAAGCUGAUAACCCAUUUGAUGUGUCUCUAACAGAAUCUUUUCAACUUCUGGAACCCCAAUUGAGGCCCCCGUUUCCAUUAACAAUCCUUACACAAUCUGAAUACUCGAAUCUCAACAGAGCUAUUCUAUAUGGCAUCCUAUGUGAACCUCAUUUGGCAGAAGUUCAUAUCAAACACUUACAUGGCAUUGUAAUUGAUGGAUACAGUUUGUUUACAGCUUUACUUACCAGGUUAGUUGAUGAAUUGUAUUCAAAUCUUGUUGAGAAUGUGAAAAUACAAUUACUUGGAGUCACUUCAAUAAUGAUCCGUGUAUCAGCUAUUGGAAUAGAUGGUUUGUUAGUGGCUUUGUUGAGGCAAACUCGUGGUGGUGAUUUUAGCAAAGCAAAUUUGUGGUUGUGUUCUGAAUUGGUUACUCUUUUCUCCAUUAAAUGGGAGUCUUUGCUGGAAGAACAACCAUUGGUGUUAUCAAGCGCCAUGUAUGUCUUUCUUAGGCUCUUGGCUGAUCAUUGUAGAGUUUCAUCAAACUCAAAUCUGGACACUUUGAAACAGAAGGAAAUCGAAUUCUGUAUUAGGGUUUUCAAGGAACAGUUCCAUUUAUGUUUGAAAAUCGGAAGGGAUUUGAUUAGGCUUCUUCAAGACUUAGUUCAUGUGCCUGAAUUUCAAGAAAUAUGGAAAGAUCUCUUAUUGUUCCCUGGUAAUUUCAAAACAUUAGGGUUUUCAGAUAUUUCACAGAUUUAUCAAUCAAGAACUUCUAGUAGGUAUUUUUUACUUCGUCUUACCCCCGAAAUGGAAACUCACUUGCGUUUCUUGCUUACACAAGUCAAACUCGGAAGUCAAACUCGAUACCAAAUUUGGUUUGGGAAGAAGUUUCUUAAUGUCCAAGAAAAGGAGAGUGUUGUGAUUGAUAUUGUUAGGUUUAUCUGUUGUGCACAUCACCCUUCUAAUAAAACAAUCCUAUCAAAUGUGAUUCCUAGAUGGGCUGUGAUUGGUUGGUUGCUGACAUGUUGUAGUAAGAAUCAUGUGCAAGCUAAUGUGAAGCUGGCAUUGUUGUAUGACUUUCUUUUCUUUCAUGAAGAAGUUGAUAAUAUAAUGAACAUUGAGCCUGCAAUGUUAUUGAUGAUAAACUCGGUGCCUAAAUAUGUUGACAUGACACAAAAUCUUUUGGAGUUUUUAUUCCUUUUGGUGGAUCAUUAUGAUGUUGAAAGGAAAGAUUUGAUUGUUAGGGGCGUGUUAUCGGCUCUUGAUGUGCUUGAAAGAAAAGGUGUGGUGCAGUCGUUUGAUGCUUUGACUAGUUGUGAUUUGCUUUCUUCUGUACUUAAGGAGAGACUUUUGAAGUUGUUGUUAAGCAAAAAUGCUGUCUGUAGAAAGGUUAUUCUUCCAACAACCCCUGAGCUGGCCCACACUGCUCCUAGCAGAGCAUCAUGUGAGGUGUAAAUCAGAUACAAAACGGAGAGUUCUCACGACGAUCCCAAUUCACCUUGGAGUUAGUCUACUGUUUCAACAAAAUGGGUGAAGGUUGGCCUGAAACAAACACAAACUUUCCCUUGACUCGACUGCCUUGAGCUGAACUGGAUCGAACAUCGUAUCCAUAGUCUGAUGUAAACUCUAGAGCACCACUUGGAUCAGUAGUCUCGUGUGGCUUCAGAUUUAAAGUUGUGUAGAAGGAUGUCGGUCAUAAUGACCACUUUGUUAAACAUUAACAAGUAGAAUAACUCUUUAUAAUUAGAAAAAUGAUUGAUA